AUUGAACGCUGGCGGCAGGCCUAACACAUGCAAGUCGAACGAGUGGCGGACGGGUGAGUAAUGUCUGGGAAACUGCCUGAUGGAGGGGGAUAACUACUGGAAACGGUAGAUAAUACCGCAUCCCAUCGGAUGUGCCCAGAUGGGCUGAGCUAGUAGGUGGGGUAAAGGCUCACCUAGUCGACGAUCCCUAGCUGGUCUGAGAGGAUGACCAGCCACAGUGGAACUGAGACACGGUCCAGACUCCUACGGGAGGCAGCAGUGGGGAAUAUUGCACAAUGGGCGCAAGCCUGAUGCAGCCAGGCGGCGUGUAUGAAGAAGGCCUUCGGGUUGUAAAGUACUUUCAGCGUGGAGGCGUUACCCGCAGAAGAAGCACCGGCUAACUCCGUGCCAGCAGCCGCGGUAAUUC
rnacentral:rRNA from 1 species